rnacentral:ncRNA from 1 species
UUCUUUCGGGUCUGUAGUUGCGGGGGCAAAAAGGCUCCUUAGUCCAUGGCAGAUGCGGUCAAAAGGAUCCACGUAAGUACGCGCCGCCCUAAUAUAGGCGCGUGCGAGCAUGGCGUAUCCUAGAAGUAAGUCGCACCUCCCGGCCGAUUUUUGCGGCAACGCCGCACUGGGGGAGAGGGCAGAGCGAAAUCAAUCGCAAAACCCCAGUGCGCGAGUGUGGGGGCAAAGACUAGGUCAGCCGAAAGAA